GGAAAAGUGGCUGAGUGGACGAUAGCGCUGGUUUGCUAAAUCAGUAUACCGACUUUUCGGUAUCAUGGGUUCGAAUCCCAUCUUUUCCG
rnacentral:tRNA from 1 species